rnacentral:rRNA from 1 species
UCCUACGGGGCGCAGCAGUGAGGAAUAUUGGUCAAUGGUCGGGAGACUGAACCAGCCAAGCCGCGUGGGGGAUGAAGGUACAGAGUAUCGUAAACCUCUUUUGUCAGGGAACAAAGGCGGGGACGUGUCCCCGGAUGAGUGUACCUGAAGCAAAAGCAUCGGCUAACUCCGUGCCAGCAGCCGCGGUAAUACGGAGGAUGCGAGCGUUAUCCGGAUUUAUUGGGUUUAAAGGGUGCGCAGGCGGUCUGUUAAGUCAGCGGUCACAGCCCGGGGCUCAACCCCGGCCCGCCGUUGAAACUGGCAGG